rnacentral:rRNA from 1 species
CCUACGGGAGGCAGCAGUAGGGAAUAUUGCUCAAUGGGCGAAACCCUGAAGCAGCAACGCCGCGUGGAGGAUGAAGGUUUUCGGAUUGUAAACUCCUUUUGUUAGAGAAGAUAAUGACGGUAUCUAACGAAUAAGCACCGGCUAACACUGUGCCAGCAGCCGCGGUAAUACGGAGGGUGCAAGCGUUACUCGGAAUCACUGGGCGUAAAGAGGGCGUAGGCGGGAUAGCAAGUCAGAUGUGAAAUCCUAUGGCUUAACCAUAGAACUGCAUUUGAAACUGUUAUUCUAGAGUAUGGGAGAGGUAGGUGGAAUUCUUGGUGUAGGGGUAAAAUCCGUAGAGAUCAAGAGGAAUACUCAUUGCGAAGGCGACCUGCUAGAACAUAACUGACGCUGAUGCGCGAAAGCGUGGGGAGCAAACAGGAUUAGAUACCCGAGUAGUC